rnacentral:lncRNA from 1 species
CCGAAUAACUUGGCGGUAACCACCCUUCGGGUCACACCCAUCACGGCCAACACAUAUCGGCAUCUUCUACACUACAAGGCGUAUCCAACCAUGGUUUCAUAUCAUCAAAUAGUGUAGCAAUUCAAAAUUUUCAAGCUCAAAUAGCCCCCACACGCAACCAUGCACCCGAGGUGAAUCCGCCUCUGAUUGACGGGCAAAAUGAUGUCAUUGCGACAAAUUGGACCCAGUAGAGCCUUCAGCAGGUUAAUACGACCUUGGGUAACUCCUCAAUUGAAUCAAUUAUCCAUUACCUGCUCCAAUUUUCUGAAUCAAAAUCCACCCAAAUUUUUCUGUUGAUGUGCUAAUUUGCUGUCAAUUGGAGGUGGCUAUGGGCAUCGAUCGAUUUUAGGAUAACUAUUGUCAGUCGAUUUUGUUAAAAGGGUUUGGGAGGGCUAACGCUAUGUUGAUGACUAGAGAUGGGUUCGGGGUUACCGACAACUAUGGUUGUUUGGAGAAGACGAAGAUGGCUGUGGCGAUG